GACCUUAGGCCACAUAAAAAAAAUUACUUGUUUAGCGUCCACCCAUUUUAAUUUUUCUAGGUCGGGCGGACGGAUUUUUUUUUUUUUUUCGUAAAAUGCAACACAAAAUUCUGCUAAAUGCAGGAAAUCCAGUAUAUUACCACAGUCAAAACUCACUUUAAUUCUUUCAAAAUCCGUUCAUGUUUUUUAACUUCCCGUUCAUGUUUUUAAUAAAACAGAAAAUUACCGUUUGGCGGUCACGCGCGAACAAUUUAGCUGCGAACAGGCAUAUUCUGGGAAGGAAACUUUGUGUAAACGUAUUACAUAGCUCCCAGAAGAAUAAAAUCACCAUUUUUUCAAGUAAAACGGUCUUUUUAUAGAGAGUUUUUCCACUAAACUCGGACAAAUUAAAAAAAAAUAAAAAAAAAAAAAUUGGAGGUCGGGGACUUUUAUCAGCUCGGGCGGGGACGCUAAACAAGUAAUUUUUUUUAUGUGGC